rnacentral:rRNA from 1 species
UACGUAGGGUGCAAGCGUUGUCCGGAAUUAUUGGGCGUAAAGAGCUCGUAGGCGGUUUGUCGCGUCUGCUGUGAAAACUCGGGGCUUAACUCCGGGCCUGCAGUGGGUACGGGCAGACUAGAGUGCGGUAGGGGAGACUGGAAUUCCUGGUGUAGCGGUGAAAUGCGCAGAUAUCGGGAAGAACACCCGUGGCGAAGGCGGCUCUCUGGGACGGUACUGACGCUGAGACGCGAAAGCGUGGGGAGCGAACAGG